CAUAGGAUGUCGGCAAUCUCAGAAACCUCUGGGAGUCUGCUUUUCAUGUAGCAAACAACCUAGUAAGAAAAACUAGCUUUGGAGCCAGCCCCGGCUGGAAAAAAUGAAGCUAAAUGAAACUCUCUCCACAAUAUUGGGCUAAAACCUUUUGAUGUUUCUUGCUGAGCCUACCUGGCUAAUGCCAUCAGUGAAAGACAAAUCAGAACAGAUGAAGAAUGUGACUUUCAGGGGAUGAAUGGAAGCGCCUCCUCUGGCUCAUGCUGGUGGGAGAAAAUGAACCAGCCCUGCUUUCUCUCCCUGGUUCAAUUCCCAGCAAAGGAAAAACAAUGUAAUUCAUGAUGAUGAUGACAAUGACAAUGACGACAACAACAAUAACCAACCUUUAACACAUCCUUAUAAUGUGCCAGACCCUGCGGAUCACUGUGAAAAGAACAUGAGAUGCCCUUUGCAGGGACAUGGAUGGAGCUGGAAGCCAUUAUCUUCAGCAAACUAACACAGGAACAGAAAACCAAAUACUGCAUGUUCUCACUUAUAAGUGGGAGCUGAACCAUGAGAACAUGGACACAGGGAGGGGAACAACGCACACUGGGGCCUGUGGAGGGCAGGCGGGGGGAGGGAGAGCAUCAGGAUAAAUAGCUAAUGCAUGCUGGGCUUAAUACCUAGGUGAUGGAUUGAUAGGUGCAGCAAACCACCAUGGCACACAUUUACCUAUGGAGCAAACCUGCACCUCCUGCACAUUUACCCCAGAACUUAAAAUAAAAUAAAAUUUAAAAAGGA